UUCAGCAAUUUUUGUCACUUUCUACAGGGCAAAACCCCCAAAAGGUUUACACGAUAAGAACCAGCAAGCAUUACAAUCAAACUACUGAAACAAGGCAGUCUGAAUAAAUCACAAAAGAAAUAACAGCCUAGGAACAAGACAGUGACUGGGCCCAGUGCUGUUUCAAGUGCAAGGUACUGAGGCAGCAAUUUGCAAGGACACAGGAUGGCAACUAGAUCUGGCUCAUGAAGGUUCAUAUGCUCCCACUAUGAGAAUUUCCUGUAACUGGCCAGCAACAUGUUCCUCUCUGGAAACACAGUGGAUGUGGCAGCACAUGCCUCCUGGGAAUGUGACAAGGACUCCAAAGACAUGUAGCUCUUGCAGGCCAGCAAAGCAAUCCAGGCAGAGAGCCAGACUACGGACUUGCUGGCUAUCUGCCCCACCUGUGCGGACUCUGAAAUGAACCUGGGCUCAGACAAUGAGGGCCUGGAAUUUCCUGCCCUCCCCCUGUGUUCAUCCCAGCCAGCCCAGUGCUCCAGAAGACCCAGCUGGUGACAGAACAUAUCACUUUUGGGGAUGGCUCACCUGGUGGCGUGUGUAGGCUGAGGAGCUUUACAGGGCCAUUGCUGAGUGUACAAAGAAGAUGCUUGGGGAGUCUGUGAAGGCUGAGAGUAGUCUAUGUAUUGCCUUAUUUCUGCUUUGAAUCUGCAGAGAUGGUGUGUCAUCCCAUAGCUCAGUCCACAAGUGGGACCAUCUGGUGGCUGUGCAGAGAACAUGCUGCUACCAAACUUCACUAUCCCACAGGGCUCCCCAGUAGCAGCGGAGGGAAUGGGCACUCCCUUCUCCCUCCACCCAAGCUGUAAGGCAGUUGGAUCCUGUGGCUGCAGCAGCUGUCCAGUGCCUGAAGUCACCGUAAAGCUGCACGCAUGUGAUAUGUAGGUUUAUAGGAUUUCUGUUGACCUCCCUCUUUCACAUUUCUGUUGUUUUGUUUAAUAAAAGUUCUGCCUGUUGC